CAUCCUCAUCAUGUUUAUAUUUCAUUUCAUAUCUUCAGCGAUUCAGCUAAUACCAACGUUGGAAUCAUAUAAGCUGUGUCUUAUUUAUUAACUCUAGCACAUUAUUGAUGAGAUAGUCUCUUGUCUGUACUACACGUAAAAAGAACAAAUGAUGGACAAAAAUCACUAUACACGCAUUAGACAUUCUUUAUUCAUGAAGUAUAAUCUUAAAAGCUAAAUAGCAUAAUUUCCCGCUAAGCGUUCUGAUUUCAGAUUUUUCUCUUGGCAAACAUAUACAAAACGGUACAAGCAGCUGUGCGCCUGCCUUAUCAGAUAUAACACUCACAUGCCAGCUUGUACAUGUAUGUAAAUGUACGCUAUACAUUGGAAUCUUAAAAACCGAAUCGUUUGAUAUCCUGGAAUGGAUUUUGUGCAGAAUUUGCUCUUAAUGUAUGUAUACACCACAACAUAUUUUUAGAGGAAGAAAAAAAAGAAAAAGAAAACUUUAAAAGUAGAAAGGAUCAAAUAAUCGAGAAAAACAUCCAUAAUUACCUCACUAAGGAAACAAAAAAAAGAACAAAGGUGGGAUUAGGCAACAGGAGAUAGAUGGGGUAACGAACAUAAUUGCAAAGGCGUAGCCGCGGAGAAUGGCCAGUAACACUCGAUGCAAGAGCCAUCUCACCUCGCGGACAUAAUUUCAAAGGCGUGGCCGCGGAGAAUGGCCAGUAACGCUCGAUGCAAGAGCCAUCCCACCUCGCGGUCUUCAUUUCUCAGAUGGACCUCAGUUAUCCCGAUUUUAAGGAGAAAAGAUGGAGAAGAAAAGAUGUUAAAUUUUUUUUUUUAAUUUAAUACCUGCAUACGAUCGUUUCGAAUAUAAUAUUAACAUGUAAAUAACAUGGUAGAAUAAUUAGACAUUAAUUAAAUUAAAUUAAAUUAA